GAACGGUCAGGAGGGAGCCAGAGUUCUUAUGUGUAACAGUUAUUUCCUUUAUGAGCAAUAACCCUGUUCACAGGUGACCCUUUCCUUUUGAACUUUCUUCAGAUGCCAUCGUGGAAGGAGACUCUGCCCCCUGCAGGCUCUGGCCUGUGGCUGCCAGGUCAGUCACCGUUCCUGUGGAGAUCCAGGGUUGAGUUGGCCGUCACGUUUGCUGAAGUGACACAGCACUGCCAUUUGCCUGCUCUUUCUCAACCACACUUCUUCACUCCCAUUGACUAGAGCACGUCCUCCAAGACCCGCACAAAGAGAAGGUUUCUUGAGCUUUCAGGCGCUUUUCCGGGAAAAUGGUGGUAUGGCAGAGUUAAAACUGAGAAAUACUGGCUGUGCGUGUCAUGUAACCUGGAUGACUGCAACAUGAGAACCAAGCAUGAGAGCCUGCAUGACCUGUACAAGAGACUGGAACAAUAACAGCAUCACUUCUGCUGGGGUAGAGGAUCAACUGAUUGUGUGGGAUGAGUUGUUUAUAGCAACUCUGCAAGGCAGAAACACUCUGUGACAGUUGAAAACUGGAGCUUCCUUGUGGACAGUCAUACCAAAGGACGUGCAAUGCCUGGAUCUCCUGCUUGUGUUGAAUUAGCUGGCAGAUGCCCAAUGACGAUGGCUGGCAGCUGUCCAGAUGAAAGCUGAUGAUGGCCUGGACUGGGAUGCUGGCAGAGAAGAGGACAGGCAUGGGCAAAGGAAACGUUUUCAUUGUGAAGGGAAAUCUCUACAAGCAGCCCAUUAAAUAGUAAAAUGUUACUGCUGUGCCUGAGUGAAAUUAUCAUCCAGGGGAAGCGCUUGCUCUUCAGGUGUACAAUCCUCACAUGGCCCACGAUUCUUGCUUCUCAAUUCUCAUGGCAGGACUUGUUCACCACCAUCAGACAUCCAGAAAGAGUCUGACCUCUUCUCCAAAUGCAGUGCCCUUCCCUAGACCAGUCCAUGGUUCUUGGGCCCAUGGAUGCUCUCUACGUGACACAGCAUUGAGCCAGACAUGGAAACACAUUUCUUAGGUUGCCACUCCUACAGCUGGAGUCCCAGAUGCCAUGGUUUGUUAAGCAGGCAUAGCAGGUGUUGCCAGCAACAAGAGAUGGAGGAGGGAAGACAAGUCUUCAGCAAAUCUUCACUAAAGAUGCCUGCAAUGGAAAUACAUUUUCUGAGGAAAGAAGUCUCCAGUUGACACUGAGAAUUUCCUUUAUGAGAAAAAAACUAAAAGAGCCUCCCUCACUGGCUGCCUGCAUGAGCAGUAGGAAGCCCCCAGUUUCUCUCUGAUACUAGAAAUUCCUUCUGCAGAGGAUAAGGUCUUUCAUCUUACUAUUUAAAACUAGGUUAAGAUGUCAAAUCUUCAAUAGAGUAAAUUUCUGAUAGCCCUUUCUCCUGAGAGUCCCAUUUCUCUGGUAGAGACAAAUGAGAGGAUUGAAAUGUGAGAACUCUGAACAUCUGGGGAGAGUAGGCAGGUGAGACAAGGCAGACUGAGGCAUCAGGGAUGUCUUUGCACUUUGCUGAUUUCAUGAGAGCAUCGUGAGUUGGCCUCCUUUAUGUAGUUCUGAGGUGUAUGUAUGUGACUGACUAGGCUAUAGCCUUGAUUGCUUAGUAGUUUUCUGGGUUACUUUUCUAGAGUGGCACCAAACUUGGUUAGCUUUGUUUGGCUUCAGAAACCUAUACAGAUUUUCUCUGAACUGGGCUGUGGAAGGCUGAAUAAUGGCCCCUAAAGAGAUUUAGGCCCUAAUCUCUGGACACUGUGAAUCUUAUCGUAUAUGCAAAAAGGUCUUUGCAGAUGUGAUUAAGGAUCCUGAAAUGGGGAGAUUAUCCUGGAUUUUCCAGGUAGCUCCUAAAACAUAAAUACAAGUGUACUUAGGAGAGGAAGGGAGAGGGAGACUUGCCUACGGACAGAAGGGAAGCAGCACAGGGAGGCAGAGCCAGAGUUAAAGAAGAUACUGGCUUUAAAAAUGGAGGAAGGAGUCAUGAGCCAAGGAAUGCAAGGAAUGCAGCUGUAGAGGCUGGA